rnacentral:rRNA from 1 species
GUUUAAACUCAAAUGAAUUGACGGGGGCCCGCACAAGCGGUGGAGCAUGUGGUUUUAUUCGAUGCAACGCGAAGAACCUUACCUACUCUUGACAUCCAGAGAACUUUCCAGAGAUGGAUUGGUGCCCUCGGGAACUCUGAGACAGGUGCUGCAUGGCUGUCGUCAGCUCGUGUUGUGAAAUGUUGGGUUAAGUCCCGCAACGAGCGCAACCCUUAUCCUUUGUUGCCAGCGGUUCGGCCGGGAACUCAAAGGAGACUGCCAGUGAUAAACUGGAGGAAGGUGGGGAUGACGUCAAGUCAUCAUGGCCCUUACGAGUAGGGCUACACACGUGCUACAAUGGCAUAUACAAAGAGAAGCGACCUCGCGAGAGCAAGCGGACCUCAUAAAGUAUGUCGUAGUCCGGAUUGGAGUCUGCAACUCGACUCCAUGAAGUCGGAAUCGCUAGUAAUCGUAGAUCAGAAUGCUACGGUGAAUACGUUCCCGGGCCUUGUACACACCGCCCGUCACACCAUGGGAGUGGGUUGCAAAAGAAGUAGGUAGCUUAACCUUCGGGAGGGCGCUUACCACUUUGUGAUUCAUGACUGGGGUGAAGUCGUAACAAGGUAACCAAGGGCGAAUUCCAG